rnacentral:lncRNA from 1 species
CUGUCACCCAGGCUGGAGUGCAGUGGCACAAUCUCGGCUCACUGCAAGCUCCGCCUCCCAGGUUCAUGCCAUUCUCCUGCCUCAGCCUCCCAAGUAGCUGGGACUACAGGUGCCCGCCACCACGCCUGGCUAAUUUUUUGUGUUUUUAGUAGAGACGCAGUUUCACUGUGUUAGCCAGGAUGGUCUCGAUCGCCUGACCUCGUGAUCCGCCCUCCUCGGCCUCCCAAAGUGCUGGGAUUACAGACGUGAGCCACGGCGCCCGGCCUACAUUCUGAGCAUCUUAUUGGUUAUCUGUACAUUGUCACAUUUGAACACUUACAAUCCUGAAAUCAAACAGUAGGCAAAGAACAGUUGUACUGGUAAUGGUAAUUAUUCUUGAUUUUUAUCUUUAGGACCUAGGGUUAUCGGUACAAAAUAAUGACAGGGAGAUGUAUAUCUAGGACCUAUAGGAUGUCUAGGAGCUGUUCACUGGUUGUGUCUUGGUGCCACAGGCCCAGUGAUAAUUGUGAAUGGAAAAUUGUAGCAACCACAGUUUGCCAAACACAAAGAAAUCAGGGGUAUAAACCCCUUGGGGAAGAAAGUCUGGGUCAUUCCAGAAAGCAAACAACAUAGACCAACCAAGGAGCAGGCCUAGGGUCAGAGAAUUCUAAAAUUGUUAGUGCAGGAAGGAGAUAAAUUAUGUCAAUUAAGGCUUUGGAAUCUGGUGUUGCACUGGGGACUGCAGCUUGUUUCACUAACUUUCCUGCAUUCAGUCUUUACAGAGAUUCCAGCUGGCCACCAUAUUGAAGGGGAUUCUGUAACUGACUGGAUUUAACGCAAAGCAAAAAGAGACAUGACUGAUGGACCAAAUCCGAUUAUUUGGGAAUGGGGCCUCAGUUCUACAUUUCAAUAAAGUAUUCUGAGUUAAAUUAAUGUGAUCUAUCUGUGAACUUUCAUUUA